CUAGCCCCGACAACCCAAAAUAACAAUCAACUUAGCCUAAGCGCAAUAAACAAAUCUUAAGGCUAAUCCGAAAACACACCGACUAAGGUAUGCUCAACCUUAAUCUAAUAACAAUCCUUGGCCACACGGCCAACUACUAAAACGGAUCCCUUGCAAGUCUAACAAUCAAGACUCGAUUAAAGACAACACCGUAUCUCGGUGCUAACACUGACUCGAGGGUUCCACAACCCCCAACACAAAUAAGACUACUCGUCACGACACAACACUCUAACUCGGGCCCUGGUGACAUCGUGUUCCUCCUCUCUAUCGGCAAUAUCCUAUCCCCCUACCACAAAGGCCAGAAGAAGUAACUUUCAACCGACCGCGGCCCAC
rnacentral:lncRNA from 1 species